rnacentral:rRNA from 1 species
CCUACGGGUGGCAGCAGUGGGGCAUAUUGGGCAAUGGGCGAAAGCCUGCCCCAGCAACGCCGCGUGACGGAAGCAGGCUUUCGGGUUGUACACUUCUUUUGACCGGGUAGAGCAGCAGACGGUACCUGUCGAAUAAGCCACGGCUCACUACGUGCCCGCCGCCGCGGUCAUACGUAGGUGGCACGCGUUGUCCGGAUGUACUGGGUGUAAUGGGCGUGUAGCCGGGCUGACACGUCAGAUGUUAAAUCCAGGGGCUCAACCCGCGAACUUCAUGUGAACCUGUUGGGCUUGAGUCUCGGAGAGGCAGGCGGAAUUCCUAGGGUAGCGGUGAAAGGCGUAGAGAUUAGGAGGAACACCAGUGGCGAAGGCGGCCUGCUGGACGACAACUGACGGUGAGGCGCGAAAGCGUGGGGAGCAAACAGGAGGAGAUACCCCGGUAGUC